rnacentral:sRNA from 1 species
GGGUUUAGGCCCACACACUCCUCACACACCAUGGCCCGGCGCGUUCGGGCUUU